GCCGGCCCCGCGCCACCCACACCCCAUCCCAACCGGAGCCUCCGCCCCCGCGCCGCCCGCACCCCGCCCCAACCGGCGCCGGCACUGCCACCCCAACGGGCAUCGCUAUAGGCCCGCCCCAACCGAGCGUGCCGCCGAUGGCUGCCUCGCACCCCCGACCCUGGAGGGCACCAUGCGCCCCCGCCGGGCCCUGCCACCUCUGCUGGCUCCCGCUUGGAUCCGGUGAUGCCAUCGACCAUCGGAACCGAUGCCGCUCGCACCCCGGUCACCUCUGCCGCUAGCACACCGCCGUUGUGCGCCGCCGAUGCAGGACACAUACUGAUGCUCUGUUGCUGUGCCGCGGAUGACCAAGAGUGACCUUCUUCCACCUCCCCAAAAGCCGCCACUCGGGACCCCCGCACUCAGGCCCUCCCCUUGCCGCCGCAAACUUCUCCCCCUACCACCGUGACCUUCUUCCCCUUGCACCGCGACCUUCUUCCACCUUCCUCCUCCACCCUUCGGUCGUGAGGCAACGCACCAACUAGCCAAAUGGGUCACCGCCCACCACCCGCACGCCAUCCAACACAGAUCGAUACCAGGCAACAUGAGAUAUCCCUCCUCCCAACGCGUCUCUACCAUCCUGCAGGUUUGUCCCAUUUGUUUGGUCACGACGGUGCUCUCAUUUGAGCAGCCAUAGCAUCACAGAAGCUCUUCAAAAAAUGGACCUGAUGGUGGUUCAUGUGAGCAGCCAUAGAAAACAAUCGCUACCAGAUAUCUAAAUUCUUCAAACAUAGCAAUGUGUUAUCUUUUUCGUUUGUAGGCUGCUUUGUAGAAUUUGUAAUAGUAGCAUGGUCAGAUUCAGAUUAUAAUGUGCCAUUCUGUAACACACUAUGUGCCAUUUUUAGUUCAAAGUCUAGCAGAGUUUAGGAAAAGGUUUUUGUAAAUUACAGUAUGAGCCAUUUCCAGCUCAUGUUCAGCAGAGUUUUCAGUUUCA